GCACUCUGGGCACCCACGUGUGCCACGGGUUACAGAAGCAGGCUUCAUUAACCAGAAGUCUGGGAAGAGAACAAGGAAGUCCAUUAGUAUCUCAAGGGAGAGAGCACCACUGGGAAAUCUCGGGGAGAGCUCGAGAGCAUGCUCCCCUCAGGUGACAACGUGCUUCUUGCCUCCUGAACCCACACCCAGGCCACGUUCACUAACCCGAGUGAAGACCUCCCUGCAAACAGCUGGGAAAAGCACAUUCCUACGAUGCUUGUUCAGAGAGGGCUUUUCAGUGAUCGGUAUGGACCUCAAAGAACCGAACACAGAGAACUCAGAGAUCCUUGAGCACAUCGUUCAUAGCAGGACUAUCCACCAUAGCCAAAAGGUGGAAACAACCCAAAUGCCCAUCAGUGAGUGAGUGAAUGACCAGAAUGGGGUGUGUCCAAACAAUGGAAUAUUGGUCCUAAAAAGGAAUAAAGCAGGGAUAUACGCUGCUAUGUGGAUGAACCCGAAAGAAGCCAGACAUAGAAGGUCACAGAGCAUGUAUCCAUUUGAACAUUUCUAUGAAAUGUCCGGAAUAGGUAAAUUCAUGGAGACAGAAAAGCAGAUUAGUGGUCAGGGGCUGGGGGAGGGGGGUGGGGAGGAGUGACUGCUCACGGGGAUGGGAUUUCCUUUGGGGUGAUGAAAGAUUCUGCGACUAGAUAGAGGUGAUGGUUGCACAAGUCUGUAAAUAUAGUAGAAACCAUUGUGCCCCCCCUCCCGCCAAGAUACAUUCAUCUGGACUCACACUGAGACCCUAAUUUGGAAAGAAGACUCUUUGCAGAUGUGAUUCACAUAAGGAUCUCAAGGUGAGGAGAUCAUCUUGGAUUGGCAGUGGGUCCUAAAUCCAGUAACAGGUGACUGUAUACGAAAAGCAUAAGGGGAAACAGACACAAGGCACAGAAGAGAAGGCCGUGUGAUGAACGAGGCAGAGACGGGAAUAACGUAGCCAAGGUCUCACGGCAGCCGCCAGAAACCGGGAGCAUGGGGCGGAUUCUCCCUCGGAGCCUCCAGAAAGAAUCAACCCCACCCUCACUCUGGUUUUAGUUUGUUUUUUUAUUUGUUUGUUUGUUUGGUUGGUUCGUUUUUUG